rnacentral:rRNA from 1 species
GACGAACGCUGGCGGCGUGCUUAACACAUGCAAGUCGAACGGAAAGGCCCUGCUUUUGUGGGGUGCUCGAGUGGCGAACGGGUGAGUAACACGUGAGUAACCUGCCCUUGACUUUGGGAUAACUUCAGGAAACUGGGGCUAAUACCGGAUAGGAGCUCCUGCUGCAUGGUGGGGGUUGGACAGUUUCGGCGGGUGGGGAUGGACUCGCGGCCUAUCAGCUUGUUGGUGGGGUAGUGGCUUACCAAGGCUUUGACGGGUAGCCGGCCUGAGAGGGUGACCGGCCACAUUGGGACUGAGAUACGGCCCAGACUCCUACGGGAGGCAGCAGUGGGGAAUAUUGCACAAUGGGCGGAAGCCUGAUGCAGCAACGCCGCGUGCGGGAUGACGGCCUUCGGGUUGUAAACCGCUUUCGCCUGUGACGAAGCGUGAGUGACGGUAAUGGGUAAAGAAGCACCGGCUAACUACGUG